CACGUAGGGGGCGAGCGUUGUCCGGAUUCAUUGGGCGUAAAGCGCGCGCAGGCGGCUCGGAAAGUCGGGUGUGAAAACUCGGGGCUCAACCCCGGGCGUGCAUCCGAUACUGCCGGGCUUGAGGCAGGUAGGGGAGAUCGGAAUUCCUGGUGUAGCGGUGAAAUGCGCAGAUAUCAGGAGGAACACCGGUGGCGAAGGCGGAUCUCUGGGCCUGUCCUGACGCUGAGGCGCGAAAGCUAGGUGAGCGAACAGG
rnacentral:rRNA from 1 species